CUUUACUUUGUGCCCAGCAGAAUUCAGACGCUCUCACCCCAGCAUGAAGUCGCUAAUGCCAGCUUCAUAUUUGCGACUGAAUCAAAGUCAUCAUUACAAGUUUGUUGUAACUGGAAUAACUGGUCCUGUGUGCUGUCUUGCAUAUUCAAAGCUGCUUUGUAAUCCGAUCUGGAGACCCAACCUUAUUUGCCUGAACUCAAUAGAGGUUUUUUCCUCCCCCUCCUCCCUCGUUUUGUUUUGGAUUCGGUAUUGUGGGUUUUCUGUUCUUGCUGGGAGCAGCCAUCCACACAAGCAGAGGCUCCGGUGCCUUUAAGCUCCACAGCAAACACCUGAGAGGAGGAGGCACAAUUUGU